ensembl:lncRNA
UACCUUAUUAUAAUUACAAUGUUGAAGAUGUAAUUAGUAGCUAGUAAUUAAUUUCUUAUUUAGAGCAGCUUAUCCAAAGACAAUUGCAAUGUCAUUAAAAAUGUUUAAUUACAAAUAUAUUUAAAUAAACGACAUCCAAGAUUCAUUAGAAAUUACAUGACAUGUUGUUGUUGUUGUUCUUUUUAUAAGUACCAAAAAUACUUGUCAGUGCAUUAAGCAAUACACUAUAACUAUAUUUUAACGGCAAUAGAAUUAUGAAAUUACAGAAAACUGUACUUAAGUAAACAAAAAAAAAAAAACAAUCAGCUAAUUACAUUUCAUGUAAAUUAUAACUAUAAUACAUUUUAAAUUAUAUGUCAGAAAAAAUCACAUUUAGUUUGCACUUAACUAUAUUCUUCUAAAAUAUAUUAUUAUACUGUUAAUAGUAUUUUUUGAAAAUAUGCUAAAGUGUACUCCGAUGCCAUAUGGGAUAGUAUGAUUGACUGGUUGCACACUUAAAAAUCUAAUGCACUGCAUCAUACUGUAUGUCUCAUGAAUAUUGAGUUUUUAUACAUUAUACUCAUUUGACAUGCUGCUUUUUGCAUACUGUGUUGCAGGAAAAUGAGCAUAUUCAGAUGCAGGAUUAGUGGCCCUUAUUAGGGUGGUCUUCAUCACCUAAACAGUUGAGUAUGAGUGUGUGAGCGAGAGCGAGAGAGAGACAGAGAAAGAUGAAGAAAGAGUGCAUCCCAGACUGGGACUUCAUCCAUCAUUGGAAUCAGCAUGUGCUGUAAUUACUGUGUCAAAUAGAUGGGAAGAUGCCUUUGAGGAGGAUGGCGGCUAUGUGUGUGUGUGCACUUGUGCAUCUCCCUCCUGAUCAUUUUCCUUUCCCGAGUCACUUCCUCCUGCACUGUCAUCUGUCAUGCCUACAUAUGCUGUCACCAAGAGCUGGCGACUCUGGCCAAUCCCUCCACUGCAGAAACAGCAGGAUUUCAUACACGCUGAAGAGAGUCCCGGGGCCAUAUGGCUCAGCUGGAGCUACCAGGAGUGCCCAGGCGAAACCAUGAGGUGGAAACGGUUUACUCGCUCCAUUGAUUCAGAGUGCUAUCAAAGAAGCCCUACCCCCACCCCACCACUCCGCUGCCCCAGGCCUGAGACAGAGAUGAAGGGCCUGUUAUGUCAAUUAACCAACCCGACCCAUGUGCUUGGCUGCGAUUCAAGGUUGCACGGGAGGAGUUCAACUGCUUAAAGGGAAGGCUAGUAUUAGAACGGUGGAGUUAUUCAUGUCACCAAGUAUUUCCCCAACAACUGCUGCAGACCACAUGCGAUCGAGCCUCAGACUGGGAGAGAUUAUUCCUUCGCUCCUGUAAAUGUUUUGAUGGAUGAAGUCUUCCUGAUUUCACAUCUAUCUCCCAGGUCUGUGGUCCACUGAAGGACUUGUGCAAAUAAAUUGGCUAUAACAAACAGGAAGGCCCCGCUGUUUUAUGAGGACCAGCUAGAGCGUGAACACACAUACAUAUUUCACUAUGUAGUAGUCUUUCAGUCUUUCUUGCUACAAAAAAAAAAAAGAGCCCUAUUUAAUGUCAAUUGUUUCUAUUGGACAUGAGAAAAAGAUGAGUAAUAUCAAAUUGUGGAGAUUUGCCAAGACUGCAAUCAUAAUCAAAAAGAUCUCAAUUAUUCUUUUGCAUCAAAUUCUCCAGUGUUAUUUUAGUACUGUUUGUAUACUGUUAUAGUCAUUAUUCAUAUUUAAAAUUUGCUUUUAUAUUUUCAAAUCAAACUUUUAAUUUUAGUAAUUUUGUCCUGCUUUUUUCAUCUUCAUUAUUAGUAGUAGUAGUAGUAGUAGUAGUAGUAGUAGUAGUAUUAGUAUUAGUAUUAGUAUUAGUAUUAGUAUAUCUUUUUUCCAGUUUUAAGUUUGGGUAGCUUAUUUCAGUUGUAGUUGCCAAGGCAGCAUUUCUAACUUUUAAGUUAGUUAAUUAGUUUCCAUCUAAUAUUUUAUUUAUUUAUUUAUUUAUUUAUUUAUUUAUUUAUUUAUUUAUUUGUUUGUUUGUUUGUUUGUUUGUUUGUUUGUUUGUUUGUUUGUUUUAUUUUUAUUUAUUUAAUUUUAUUAUUUUCAACUUCCAAAAAUUAUUUUUAAAAGUUUUAGUUGCAGUUUAAGUCAACAAUAACAACACUGAAAUUAUCCCAAGACCAGAUGAUCUGAGCUGCAAUCCACAUUCAUUUUCUAUCAUUGUAAUGUUACUGUAUGCCAACUGUUGUCUCAUUUCUUAUUUUUUUC